GCCCUGUGGUAGCUGGACACUGGUUUGUACAUACAGUGCUUCAGCUGGUGGCAAUGGGCCAACAGUGACACUGUGAUUCAUGCAUGGAGUUUGUGAUGUGUCAGCAGCUUCCAUAGCCCCAUCACAGGUACAGAG